CUGGCAGGGACUUCAGAGGCUGUCGGCUGCUUCCAGACACAGAAAGGACAGGACCCCUGCCUCUAGGGCCAAGGGAUGGACGGAGGCCUGUCCAACACCAACUUCCCGAGUGACUCUCAAAUCAAAACUCCUAACUGAUGAGCUCAGGAGGACUUUGGCCCUGAGCUCCGGGAUGCCCUCCCAGGCUGCCCGUCACCGAGGGAGAGCAGGGGGUGCUGGACUUUUCCCGCACGGCCGCGGCCAGGCGGAUCCGGCGUGCUCCUCCCAGCCGUGGGCUUCCACUUACCAGUGUGAGUUCGGACGUGUCUCUUGAGGUCGAAGGUGUCAUUGAAGCCCUUCCCGCAGUACGUGCAGAGGUGCCUCUUGACGUCGUUGUGACACUUCAUGUGGCGGUUCAGCAUGCGCUGGUGGAGACAAACAGGAACCUCUACCCUCCUCUGCCUGUUAGUACUGGAUGGUGUGAGCGAGGUCCCCCAGCUGCACCACAGCAGGGCAGGAGACAGCAGAAGUUAAAACUGUGCCUCGGCCCUCGCGCCAGGGUGCCCGCCCAGAACAGUGGGAGCAGUGCUUCCUGUUGCAGCCCCCACCCAGCCAGGCACAGGCCCAGUGCCUCUGUGGGACUCCAUCCAGGACUUGUUGAAAUGGCCGAUGAUACAAAGGAGCCCCGACUUCACCCAUGGCCAGCUUCCCUCGCCAUCCUCCCUGCAGCCAAAGGACUCGCCCUCACCUGUUCUUUCUGAGACAAAUCAUCUGCCAGGUUUCCGCCUCGGGACACCCAAGCUCAGCACAGACAGCCUAGCAGCCUGGGUGACAGGAUCCCAGGGGACAGGAUUCUCUCCUUGCCAUGGGGAUGAGGACAAAUUCUCCCUUCAUCCUUGAGAUUGGACUCCCGCCACACAUCCUGGAGGAGCCUACAGAGAAGCCGGCAGGUCUCCCUCACCUGGAUGGUGCCAGCGGGUGGCCUGGACCACCCAGAGGCCCUCUCCUGCACCUGACAGGAAGCCCCUGGGGCAUACGUCUCCCCUGCCACUUCCACUGUGGCCACUGGAAGUGUGGCAGAGAAAAUAGCUAGGACAAAAAGAAGUCAAUGAUUUCAACCAACGGAAUUUCUUUGUCCUUUGUAAAAAUCAACACAUGAUCUGUUACUGAUUGGGAUGUGAAAUAAAACUAAAAAUAACAGCACACUGAGCCUGGCUCAGGGCUCAGCUCACCUUUACCACGGUCCAAGUUCAGUUUAUCAGAUCCCAAGGAGCAGCUAAGCAGCAAGUCAAACACAGGGCAAGCGGGGCGCAGCGGGCGCCUGUCCCACCGUCUCGGCUCACUGCGCGGGACUAGCAGCCGGAGCCCAACGAAAAUUUGGGGGCCCACGCCCCCCACCGGCCCGACCCUCACUCCGACCCGGCCACCAGUGUUGUGGGGGAGGAGGAAGGACCUGUGCGAGCGGCUGAAGCUCUGAGCUUUUAACACAAAUCUCGGCCGAAACUCCAGCCCGCUCCCCGCCCCCCAAAGUGGCAUCGCUCCAGUGCCUUCUCCCGCCUCAUGCGAGUCCCGGUUUUCUGGAUUUACGACGUCGGAGCCGAGGGUCGCCUGAGCGGUGACACACCCCGCUGCCUCCUCUGUGCCGCGGUUCAGGGGGUGGGGGUAGGCGGUUCCGCGCCCCCUGGCCCUGGGAGCGGCUCCCCUUCCACCAUGCAGCCCCCGCCCCGACCAGCGCUCUUCCGCCGGCCCCGCCCCCGCCCCCCGAGUCCCGG
rnacentral:lncRNA from 10 species